UGACCACACGGCUCUGAGCGGGGCAGAGCUCAGGCCCCGCUGGAGACACGCUGCCUCUGUCGAGCGAAGCUCCUGAAUCCGCUGAGGCUCCGGGUGAGAGAGGAGCCAGGGGUAAAGGAACAUCCACCACAAUGUAUGUGCUACGAACAGCUAGUGUCUAAAAGCGAGAGAGAAUAACUGCCAUGGGGCAAAGAACAAGGGCCUAAAGAUGUUGCCAGGUACCAGAGUGACCAGCAGCAAUAAAAGCUUUACAGAGAGGACCUCAGAAACAGGAGUGAAGAAAGAUGGAAAAGAGUUAGUACUAGCAGCAAAUGUUAGUAACAAUUUAACAAUUACCUAUCAAAAACUGAAGAUGCUGCUUUGUGUUUGCUCUGCUCUGAUAAUAUCCCUGCUGGACCAGACAGUCGACAAUAUAUCAAGCAGAGAGAAGUCAAAGCCUCCUGGGCCCAGCCAGCAGAAACGCUCCUAGCAAGGAGAACUGAAAAACUGCUCCCAAGACCAAUACUUUCUGGUUAACCAUCAGGGAUUGCUUCACUCUUUCAGAGAAAACCACCGGGGGUAAAAAAGAAGAAAAAAGAAAAGCAUUGCUGCAAUUAACAAAAUCUCUAGAGAACAGAGAGAACUGAAUAGCUGCUGUGGGACAUGGACUCUAACAACUUAGAUCUACCAUUAUCCUGGUCUGUUCUGAUGAAAUUUAAGUAAAGAUUUACCCAAUUUCCCAGAAUGGAAGCACAAUGAAUUCCAGGGGGAUGGGCAAAACCCAUAAAAGCUAAACAUAGCUGAAGGAAGAAGGUAGAAAUUAGAUGGCUGAGCAAUUUUUUUUUUUAAGCCAGAGAAACAAAGUAGUCACUGGCUGCUGAAUUACAUUUUCGACAUUGCCUUCCAGUAUUUACUGGAAUGUAACCUAUCUGUACUCCACAUUUAUCUUUGCUUACUAGAAGUUCUAGCAUUUGGGGUGGUGCUUGUUGCUAAUGACCAAAGCACAAGAUAUUAAACAUCUACACUUCCUAGACCAGGGAGGGGCUCUCACAAGAAAUUUUUUGGUGGCCUGAGAGUGCA